rnacentral:lncRNA from 1 species
CAUUUGUUCUUUCAUGUUGUCUACUUCAUCCUUUAGAGCCCUUAGCAUAUUUAUCACAGUUGUUUUAAAUUCCCAGUCUGAUAAUUCCAACAACCCUGCUAUGUCUGGUUCUGAUGCUUGCUGUGUCUCUUCAACUAGUGUUUUUUGCCUUUGGGAAUGCCCUGGAAUAUUUUCUUGAUAGCCAGAAAUGAUUUACUGGCUAAACGGAACGGCUGUAAAAAGGCCUUUAGUAAUGCGGUGAUGCCUCUGGUUUUUGAACUUCACAAGUGCUUCCCAGUGUUUUUCCUCCCUUCCUUAGGUGGGAGAGGACGGCUGUAGCGCGCCAGAGUUGGGUAUUUCCCUUCUCCCUGGUGGAAGGCUAGAGUGGAGUGGAGUUGGGUGUUUCUCUUUCCCUGGGUCAGUUAGGCUCUAAUAAUACCCAGCUAGUUAGGCUUGGUUAACUAGUUUCCCCUGAGGACAGUCCUUAUUAAGAAGAACAGAGCACUCUGGUGUGUUUCAAAAUGGUUCCUUUUCCCCUCUCUGUGCCAGAAGCCCAAGAGGAUUUUUCUCUAUUUCCUGUGAGGACCUGGUCAACCUUUUGGAGAUAUUGAUGCCUUCAGUUGAGAUUAAUUGGAUGUGGUUUCUAAUUAGCAAGAUAAAAAGUUGUGAAGAGGCACAAGUAAAUGAUGGCACUGUAUCGUCAACCGCUCUCCACCUCCUUUUGGACUGGAAAUCUGUCUCUUGGAUCCUGGUGUUCUUCUCAUGGGGAUGUAGUGAUUUCAAUGACUUCCUCUGGACCAUGGCUUGGCUGCACAGGAUUGUUGCCGCUUGUCUGAGAACAAUCUCUAAAGUGGUAUUUAGAGAUGAGAAAAUUGAAGCCCUGAGUGACUAUCUGAGGUUAGAUGACAGGUGGCACAUGGUGGAGGAGAUCUCAGGCCCAUCUGCCUGCAGUGGCCUCUCUGCUUUCUCUGUACUAUUCUGUGUCAGAAUCUUUGUUCCUCCUUCACUUCUCUCUCAUCCGCUUCCCAGUCAAAACAAUUUUAAAGCACAUGUACAUGUGAUUCCCACGUGUAUGCCCGGAAGCACUCUUGGAGAGGUAUAAUUACCCGGAAAAAGAUGUGCAUCUCUUCUUCCUUAUAAUCCUCCAUACAGCUACAAAGGAAAAAAAAAAAAAUCUCUUUACGAACACACAUAUUUAUUCCAAUGUUUAAACUCCAAUAGCAGAUGCUCACACAGAGAUACAAACAGGCAUCCUUCUACUCACUAAUAUGCACUAACCAUAAGCAUAUUAGAAAGUAGGAUAUGGGAAGAACUGGCAUAUAAAGCAAAAGGUAAUCAUAUCAUGAGCAAUAAAAGUCUCAAGAAAAUUAUACAACUCAGACUUGGCUGUUAAGACUACACGGGCACAGAAAAUUAGUUUUGAAUCUAGUUUGCUGCUUGAGUUUUGAGACAAGUAACUGACCAAUAACUGCAGGAAGUAGGAAAAAAAAAUUGAUUUCUAGGAGAGAGUGUGAGGUUCUGUGGACAAUUAGGUAGAACAGACAUUGCUUCCUGGUCUAAGAAGGUACCAGAAAUGAAAAACAACAACAACAAAAUCCCAGGAAACAAAAUCAAGUAAACAGCAACGAAAAAGGCUCAAAUCUAUGGGAAGCUAUGGCCUGAGUGGGGUCUUGGUCCAAGUAGUGUAAUUUCUUUGAGGAGAAGGGAACUGUGGGUAAGAGCACAGUGCCUCUGAUAAGGAAUGGUGUGUGAGCCACCCUAGAAACUCUAUCCCAGCUGGACCCAGGGUCUGCUGGCCGGCACCCAAAGCACCUGCAGUGACCAACACAGAAAUUAGCCCUCCUCAUGGCCAGCAGCAUCCUUGGAGGACUCACAGGACAGCCCACUGAUGUUACCUCCCAAUUCAUAUGGGACCCAGAGGAUGACGGCUUUUAAGAAAAUAUAGGCACUUUCUAUGCCCUACACCAUCAACCACUGAACCAAAGUAAAGGAAUCGCUAUUUAGGGCUGGUGUUCCCUGGGCCCAGAUACAAAGUAAAGAUUUUCCUUUUGUUUGUAUACUGAGUGUAUAUCCAGGCUCUUGUAGCCUGAGAGACCAAUUUUUAUAAACACACACACACACUCUGCUGUCAUAAACGUGCUCUGCACGUAUAUUUACCUGAGCCAAGAGUCAGAGAGAUGUUGUCCUACAACUUAGAAAUCGUCCAUGGGGGCUGAUGAUCCAGGCCUUCAUCUGAGUUUGAGGACUAUGGCUAGAACCACGUUUCGAUAUAAUUGGUUUCUUUACAGACCUAUACAUUUAAUUUUAUUCAGGU